CGUUGGCGGCUUGGAUUAGGCAUGCAAGUCGGGGAAUCCCGCAAGGGGGAACCGGCGUAAGGGGCAGUAAGGCAUGGGUACCUACCCGGGGGUUCGGGAUAGCCAUCAGAGAUGGUGGGUAAUACCGGAUGACCUCGUGAGAGCAAAGAUUCGUCGCCCCCGGAGGGGCCCAUGUGAUAUUAGCUAGUUGGUGGGGUAACGGCCCACCAAGGCGAAGAUGUCUAGCGGGUGUGAGAGCACGACCCGCGCCACUCGCACUGAGACACUGGCGAGACACCUACGGGUGGCUGCAGUCGAGGAUCUUCGGCAAUGGGGGCAACCCUGACCGAGCGACGCCGCGUGAGCGAUGAAGGCCUUCGGGUUGUAAAGCUCUUUAGUGGGGGAGAAAAGCCGAGAGGUGUGAUCGAUCCCAAAAAUAAGCACGGGCUAAGUUCGUGCCAGCAGCCGCGGUAAGACGAACCGUGCGAACGUUGUUCGGAAUCACUGGGCUUAAAGGGCGCGUAGGCGGGCUAUCAAGUCUGGGGUGAAAGCCCACGGCUCAACCGUGGAACGGCCUCAGAUACUGACGGCCUCGAGGGAGGUAGGGGCAUGCGGAACUGUAGGUGGAGCGGUGAAAUGCGUUGAUAUCUACAGGAACUCCGGUGGCGAAAGCGGCGUGCUGGACCUCUUCUGACGCUGAGGCGCGAAAGCUAGGGGAGCAAACGGGAUUAGAUACCCCGGUAGUCCUAGCCCUAAACGAUGGGUACUAGAUAGUAGGCCAGAUAUGGGCUUACUGUCGAAGUUAAAAUGCUAAGUACCCCGCCUGGGGAGUAUGGUCGCAAGGCUGAAACUCAAAUGAAUUGACGG
rnacentral:rRNA from 1 species